rnacentral:rRNA from 1 species
AUGAAGCAAAUCAAAAGGAGCCCCAUCACCGUGGAUACAACGCUGCAAGCAGAUGAUGCGGUUCAGUGCGGAAACAUCGCCGUGGGUGCUCGUCGGGCCGGGAGAAUCUUAGAAGUGGUGACAGGGCUGUGUCACUCUGCGGUUAUGUGGUGUGAGGCCCAUGGCAUGUUGGACCGGUUCACUAUAGGGCCUCUGGAUCAGUUUGUAGAGCUUCUGGUAUGUUCACGAUUACGAUCGGAUGGCUCAAAUUCUCACAUCGACGUGGAGGCUCGAAAAAGCAGAUCCUUCCGAUGCGUCCACGAUUAUGAUCGGACGGCUCAAAGUCUCGAAUCGACGUGGAGGUUUGGAAAAGCAAAUGCUUCCGAUACGUUCACCAUUAUGAUCGCACGGCUCAAAGUCUCGAAUCGACACGGAGGCUCGGAGCUGCAUUGCAGGGACGCUGGGUAUGAAUUCAGUUACCCUCAGUCUGCAGACCAGAUGUGCCAGCAACAGCUGAGAGCUCGAUUAUCUCCAGAUGAGCAGCUUGCUGCUGAAGAACAUUCCGCGUUGUACUGCAAGCCAGUUGAGCUCUACAAUAUCAUUCAGCGGCGAGCCAUUAGAAAUUUUACGGUGUACCCGGGAUUUAACAAUUCGCUACCUUUUCUCAUGGCCCUCGACAAAUUUGUCCGCCCAACAGCUCGAAACCACCAUCGUGCCACUCUGGAAUCUGAGAGCGAUGGUGGCCUCAGCCUCCAUUCGAGAUUCUCAGCGGCUUAUGCCCCCUCCCAUCAGAGAAUGACUACGGCCUCCCUAUGUGGCCCUGGGUGGUGCUCCUCGACAAAUCGAGGGUGUGAGGAUUUAGGUAAAGCAUUCUCCGAUAUAUCGAUUCAGUCGGGCUUGUUGGUUACAGGUUUUAGUGAAUUCGGUAAUAAAGGUCGCACCAAAGCUACAUUCAUAAUUCCAGACAUCAAGAAUUUAUCAACCUCCCGAGCUUGCAACCUUAACAUUAUCCUUAUCAGCUGUGUUUUGGAAGGGCAAGUUGGGGAAAAUCUUGGUGAAGAUAACUCCUCUGUGGACCAUGUGGAAGGCUCUGCUCUCCAAAUGUAUAAGGGUUUUCUGCACUUUACCUCACAAGUACAUAUAUUGGCCUUUGGCCCUCAGAGUGAUUAUCCAACAUGUCUCCGGCCACCACCGGCCGUCUCUGGUCGCCCAUCUGCCUCCUCUUCCUCAGCUUCGCUGCAACUCCGCCCCGUCCGGCGGCUGCCCUACCUCGUCCGGCUGCCGCGGCUCCGCCCCGUCGGGCCAUUGUUCCUCUCCAUCCCGUGGCUGUUGCUCCUCCCCAUCCUGCCGCCGCAACACUGCCCUGUCUCGCUGCCGCUCCACCCCGCCUUCCCUGCUCUGCCCUGUCUGGCCGCCGCCCAGUACGGUCGCCGCAGCCUCAGCCCGUCCUGUUCAGCUGCCCAGGUCGGCUUCUCCUGGCCUGGCGACCAGGGCGACUGGGUUGCCUCCCGCCUGGCUCGUACGCCUCCCCGCGUGCCUAGGCCUCUGGCCCCUAUCCCGCCGGUGCCGCCUGUUCUUGCUACUGCUGCUUCCCAGGAUGACCGGGAUGUAGCCAAGGCUCUCGAUGCUGCUGCGGAUGAUGCUUAUGAUCACCAGGUAUCAGCUUAUUCAGAUGCUCUCUUUGUCUACCGUGAUGAUCUGUGUGCUUACACUCAGUGGUGCAAUGAUGAUGCUCGAGCUGCUGCUGUCCUCCCUUCAAGUGUCCUCCCUCAGUUUGCUUCGGAGUUCAUGGGCCUCGACGCUGUUGCAGCGAUAUGUCUGCCAUCUAGUGCCAGCUUGAAUCGCUUCGGUCAGUUGUUUGUGGAGCUUGGGGCUGCUGUCAGACUAUGCGGUCUGAUCUGGAGUUUUAGCGUGUCCGUGAGUUCUUAUCUCGACUUCGCUCUGAGUUUGAGCGUCGACGUGCCCACUUGCUUGCUUGUGGACGUGUUCCUAUCUCGGAGGUGCUUGCUGAACUUCGGGAUGAGGAGACUUGGCUUCGCUCUGCUGGUUUUUCUUGUGGUUCCCUCUGUGUUGGCUGUCGGAGCUCCUGUGUCCUCUGCUCGUCUCACCGCUCCACCGCUCCUGCCCACACCUUCAGGGGGACAUUGUGCAGCUCAGGCGUCUUUUGACUCCCUCAGGAUCUUUGUUGAUUGGUUCUGCCGCUAUUCCCGCUUUUCUGCAAAGAUGCCUUCAUUACAAGAUACAUGCAAGCCGAAAAAAGAGGUACACACUUUGACUCUACUGCAGAACAUGCUGACACUCAGAAUUGUUGUGAUCCAAAUCCGAUAUGUCGAGAAAAAGAAAGGACUGUCCUGUUUCAAAACAGAAAAAUUCGUCAGCCCAACAGCUCGAAACCACCACCGUCCCGCUCUGGAAUCUGAGAGCGAUGGUGGCCUCAGGCUUCGCUCGAGAUUCUCAGUGGCUUGUGCCUCCUCCUACCGGAGAAUGAUUGCGGCCUGCCGCUGUGGCCCUGGGUGGUGCUCCUCCAUAGACCAAGGGGGUGAGGAUUCAGAUAACGGGCAAGUUGGGGAAAAUCUUGGUGAAAAUAACUGCUCUGUGGACCAUGUGGAAGGCUCUGCUCUCCAAAAGCUUGAAGGGAAAUGUUUCUGGGGUAAAAUACCAAUUGAUCUACUUGGUUCAUCUUUGGAGAACUGUGUAACUUUAAAUUUGGGACAUACAGUGGAGUUGGCUUCUGCAGUUAGUAUGAGCCCAAAUUUCUUAGAGCCGAAAUUUAUGGAGGAGGACAGUUGCUUGACAUUUUGCUUUCAUAAGGUUGAUGCUACGGGUUCAUAUCAACUCCAAGUAGGCAUAUCUGCUCAAGAAGCUGGUGCAAAAGACAUGUCUGAAUCUCCAUAUAAUGGCCACUGUUCUGCAGUCAGCGCAGCUGAGCUUGCUGCUUGCUUGAGAGCUAGUAAUGUGCUUUUCAACUUCAAGUACUACAUCAAUACUAUGCAAAAGACUGAAGGUUAA